CGCAGGCGCACCGUACGCGUAGCCGCAGCCAACGCGCCUUCCGGGUAGCCAUCGCCGAAACGGGGUUUGCUCUGAAGAGUGUUGUUAGGUAGACUCGCCGUGCAGAACCUCGCUAUUCUGUGCUAGACAACCAAUGGGUGUACGUUAUCGGUGUAAGGACGUGGUUGAAUGUAGCCGAACUUAAGUGGUCCGAGGGGUCUGGCUAAGGGCGAGACUACAAGUCCCAGCAUACAACGCGGUCCUCCGUCGCGCCGCUCCCAGCAUGUAGUGCGUGGUUUCCUCCUGCUGACCCUGAGACUUACGACGAAUUGCGUGAGUUUUACUCAUGCCGUCUCCGCGCGCUUCUAGUAAAUCUUCGUCGCCACCCUCAGAAUCCUGGCCGCAGUCUCACUGUCUCUUAGGCUGAUUCCCCACCCGCCUCCUCUAACAAGACUCAGUUCUCCUUUUUUUCUUUUUUUUUUUUUUGACAGAGAGUCUCGCUCUGUCGCCAGGCUGGAGUGCAGUGGCGCGAUCUCAACUCACUGCAACCUCCUCCUCCCGGGUUCAAGCAAUUCUCUGCCUCAGUCUCCCGAGUAGCAGGGAUUACAGGCGCGCGCCACCGCGCCCGGCUAAUUUUUUUGUAUUUUUAGUAGAGACGGGGUUUCACCAUCUUGGCCAGGCUGGGUCUUGAACUCCUGACCUCGUGAUCCACCCGUCUCGGCCUCCCAGAGUGCUGGGAUUACAGGCGAGAGCCACCGCGCCGACCUCAGCUCUCUCCUUAAGCGUGUUAGCCUUCUCCAAACCUGCAGUGAACUUGCUGGUUCCGAAUGGGAGCCGUGCUGCCCAAAAACUAAAUUAGUAAAACUUGUGAGCGCCUACUGUGUGUCAUGCAUGUUCUAGAAUAUCGGGGAUACAGUGAUGCCUGAUACACCAUCCCUGUUCGGGAGGAGCAAACAAUGACUCGAGAGAGGCUCCUUAGCAACUAACAAUGUUAAAUGCUAUCACAGGAAUAAGCACUGUUACAGUCAUACAAGGUGAAGGAGUCAUUCCAUUUCUAAAAUGGGAGAGAGGAAGUUUGGGAUGUCAGGGCUUCUAAGAGGGAUAGCAGGAAGGCUGAUUGUUGGGGAGCCAGUAUUUUCUAUUAUGAAGCAGAGAACUCUUAAGGAGUGGAGUGGAUGAUGGUAAUUACCAAAAGAGAGGACAAAGUCCUUGGGAUCUGCCACACAGAAGAAAGAAAAACAUGGGAAAGACUCCCAGCUGAGAGCAGCCUGGGCCUAUGCCUGGUCUCUUUUUGGAAGAGGUAGAUAGUGCUGGAAGGCGUGCUAGGUACACCGCAAAGACUCCACAGCAAAUCCUGCACACAAAAUCGCGAAUGCUGCAGCCGAGACCCCACGCAAGCAAGCACCGCAGGAGACGUGGGCUGACAGCUGCGCCCCACGUGACCUCCCACCCGCGCCAGUCCGUCCCCUCGGUAUCAGGGCGUGGCCUCGCGGGGCGGCCGUACCUGGAUUGGCCG